UGGGGAAUUUUGCACAAUGGGGGAAACCCUGAUUCAGCGACGCCGCGUGAUUUAGAAGGCCUUCGGGUUGUAAAAAUCUUUUCUAUGGGAAGAAAAUGACAGUACCAUAGGAAUAAGGACCGGCUAAUUACGUGCCAGCAGCCGCGGUAAUACGUAAGGUCCGAGCGUUGUCCGGAAUCAUUGGGCGUAAAGGGUACGUAGGCGGGUAAGCAAGUUAGAAGUGAAAUCCUAUAGCUCAACUAUAGUAAGCUUUUAAAACUGCUCAUCUUGAGGUAUGGAAGGGAAAGUGGAAUUCCUAGUGUAGCGGUGAAAUGCGCAGAUAUUAGGAGGAAUACCGGUGGCGAAGGCGACUUUCUGGCCAGAAACUGACGCUGAGGUACGAAAGCGUGGGUAGCAAACAGG
rnacentral:rRNA from 1 species